AUUCAUCCCCAAAUCUCAAAAAAGCCCUAAAAUUUUCCAUCCUCUUCAAUCCAAGCCCAGAAGAAUCCUAUCCGAUCUCUCUAAAUUAGGUUAAAAUUGGAGCGAUUAGGAUUUCAAUCUGAAGAGCAUCGGCCAUGCCUUCGAUGGUCGGCGGUCGCCUCCUCUUGGUUCGAGCCAUUGCGAUGGAGCUCCUUCCCCUCGAGAUCUCGUUCAAUGAAAGUAGUAGUAAUAGUAGUAGUAAUCGUUUUAAAAAGCUAGAGAAAUGGAAUCGUCGUGGUAAUCUCAGCUAAUUCUUUGCCCUAGAUUCGUUCUUUUUGCUCUUCGUUUUGUUCUUUGAGAUCUCUGUUGCUUUUUCUCUGAGAAAGGAGGAAUUUUGACGGAUUGUGCGUUCUUGGAGCAGUCAGAUCUUGAUUGAGGUUUAAUCACUGCUGUCCUUGAAUGGGUAGUUCCACAUCUUGUAAUGAGUCGGUUUCUUCAAGUAUUGGCUCUAGGCUGUGUUUAGACAGUCUUAAUUGUGAAGAAUCACUGGUAAAACAUGAGAAAUCCUCCUAUGUCAAUGAAGAGGAUGGGAAGGUAAUAUUUCUAGAGGAUCUCGACAGUUCCACUGGUGAGGAGUCAGAUGAGGAUUUCAAAGAUUCAGUUGUCAAAGAACUUGGUAUUUCACUGUGGCAAACUCUACAUGUUCAUGAACCUCCAGAACCUUUAGUUGUCAGGAAUCCAACAUCAAAUCCGGGAUAUAAAA